rnacentral:lncRNA from 1 species
GAAAUUCUGGCGGACACUAAGGAAAGGAAGCUGAUGCUGAUGGCUUUCUGCUUCUGGUCUGGAAUGGCCCCAUCCCUCUGGUUCUGCUCAGCAACCUCUCUGAGCUGUGAGAACAUAGAAACUGGAGUGAAAUGACUCACACAAGACACCUGCCCUGCUGGUGGAUGGAAGCAAAGGGAGACCCAGGAGAAGACUCUCAAUAUGAUUGCUUGAGAGGAAAUAUGGAUUAGCUGGGUCAUUUAUAUGCUAUUGCUGUUGGAUGCUCUUCUUUGUAUCAUGGCUUCCUUGGAAUUAUGGCUCAGAUGCCUCCUUUGUCUGUCCCUAAAUCAAGCUCCCUGCUCAGAGGAUGCCAUCAAAAAUGCACUGCAGACAACAAAGCUUCCUUGGCCAUCAGGAGUCUGAGAUCAUGACAUACCUAAAAUAUGAUUCCAGUGGAUGCUGGCUUCCUUCCUUUUCUUG